GCCUGCACACGGGGGUUCCCAUCUACCUGCCCUCCCCUGGGAGGCCCCUGGCCAGGACGGGUCUCCAGUCUGUGUCCCUCCUGCCUCCUUGCCCUGGUGGCCUCUUCUAGCUCACUGCCUGGACUGGCCUGUCUCCUGUCACCAGGGGCAUAUUCCACCCCCUUGGCCCCUGCCACCUAGUUUGGCAUUUUCUUCUUUUCCCCUGUGUCUUUUAGCCCUGUGUCUUUACCCUCCAGAAGUGAUGUGGAGGGGAGAUUGGGGAGUUCUGGUUUAGCCCUGCUCAGCUUGGCAUGUUCCUUGGCUCAGGCCCUGAGAGGAUGCAAAGCAGGGUUGUCUCCUUGAGGUGGGGUCAGUGCCGGUGCUGGGAGGAGGUAAUAGGUUUGGCGUGGCUCCAUGGUGUAGUGUCCUGGGGACACCAGGGCUGGAGGGGGAAGGACAUUCCUGAGGAGGACCUCUCAUCCCCUAGGUGGCAAUGGAUCUCUCUGUACGUGGUUCUGCUGGUCCCUGGCCUCUCCGUUUGGGCAGCUUCUAGAGGCUUCUGGAGUGUGGGAUACCUUCCCUACCCCACCCCUGCCAUUGAUCACAGUAGGAGUAGUAGCAGGGCUGGGCUGAGGUUCUGGUUUUAUCCAAUAGUUUCCUGCCAGCCUCUAGGGUGGUAUCUUCUUGGGACUGGUGAACUGGAGCCUAGUGAGCAGUCCCACCCCAGGUGGAAAUGAAUAAAAGAAUGAAGUGCUGUUGUCUUCCCUUUGUUCCCUUGGCACUGGGGAGUGUCUCAUUUUAUUGAGAGCCACAGGCUCUGACCCCUGGUACUCUCCUCAUGCAGGGGACACUGGUGUCAGCCUCGCCCAGCAAGCGUCUUCCUUGCUUGUUUCUGGCUCUGUUGUUUCUUGUAGUUAGGCAAACCUUGGACAUCUUUGCCUUUCCUGUUGCAUCCCCUGUUCUUGUCCAUGUGUCUGGGGUAGAGGUUCCUCCUUAGGAGUACAAUUUUGGUCUUGUCCUGCUUCGGUGCUCCCCCAGGUAUCCUUCCCCAUCCUCCUGUUCCAGUCACCGUCUCCCCCAUCAACUAUUAAGACUCUUUCCUGGCCCAGCAGGUGCUAGCAUGAAGGUAAGAUAUCUCUCUGGGCAAGCAGCACUGCCAUAGGUUGCACCCACAUGCUAGCAAAUGGUAAGAGUUUAGACUGGACAGCAGCUAGCACAGCCUCUCACUGAGGCCAUGGAUAGGUGCUGUCCCCUUCUGUGUCCCAACAUCUGCUGGAUCCCUAUGGAAGUGGAGAGCAGUGGAAUGAGUGAAGACACUGAAAUUUUC
rnacentral:lncRNA from 1 species